UGGUCAUCACCAAGGCUUUUAGAAUGCAGUUUCUCAUUUGCUGUGGACGUGACCAUAAAGAAAAAUUCCCAUGAGGUUUUUCAUAUGCUACUACAGGUUGGGAACAUGA
rnacentral:snoRNA from 1 species